rnacentral:rRNA from 1 species
GACGAACGCUGGCGGCGUGCUUAACACAUGCAAGUCGAACGAGAAUCAAUGGAUAGAGGAUUCGUCCAAUUGAAGUUGAGGAAAGUGGCGGACGGGUGAGUAACGCGUGAGGAACCUGCCUUUCAGAGGGGGACAACAGUUGGAAACGACUGCUAAUACCGCAUGAUGCAUAUUGGGGGCAUCCCUGAUAUGCCAAAGAUUUAUCGCUGAAAGAUGGCCUCGCGUCUGAUUAGCCAGUUGGUGAGGUAACGGCCCACCAAGGCGACGAUCAGUAGCCGGACUGAGAGGUUGACCGGCCACAUUGGGACUGAGAUACGGCCCAGAUUCCUACGGGAGGCAGCAGUGGGGAAUAUUGGGCAAUGGGCGCAAGCCUGACCCAGCAACGCCGCGUGGAGGAAGAAGGCUUUCGGGUUGUAAACUUCUUUUAAGGGGGAAGAGCAGAAGACGGUACCCCUAGAAUAAGCCACGGCUAACUACGUGCCAGCCGCCGCGGUAAUAC